UACAGAGGGUGCAAGCGUUAAUCGGAAUUACUGGGCGUAAAGGGCGUGUAGGUGGUUGUUUAAGUUAGAUGUGAAAGCCCAGGGCUCAACCCUGGAACUGCAUCUAAAACUGGGCAACUAGAGUAUGGUAGAGGGAAGUGGAAUUUCUAGUGUAGCGGUGAAAUGCGUAGAUAUUAGAAAGAACACCAGUGGCGAAGGCGACUUCCUGGACCAAUACUGACACUGAGGCGCGAAAGCGUGGGGAGCAAAC
rnacentral:rRNA from 1 species